ACCGUGCACAGUGGCUCGUGCCUGUAGUCCCAGCUACUUGGGAGGCUGGGGUGGGAGGAUCGCUUGAGCCCAGGAGUUCUGGGCCGUAGUGGGCUAUGCCGAUCGGGUGUCUGCACUAAGUUUGGCAUCAAUAUGGUGACCUCCUGGGAGCGGGGGGCCACCAGGUUCCCUAAGGAGGGGUGAACCAGCCCAGGUCGGAAAUGGAGCAGGUCAAAACUCCCGUGUUGAUCAGUAGUGGGAUUGCACCUGUGAAUAGCCACUGCACUCCAGCCUGGGCAACAUAGCGAGACCUCGUCUCU
rnacentral:SRP_RNA from 1 species